ACGGGUGCGGCGGCAUUCGGGCCAAAUGUCGCCCGACGAUCUUGCACUUUGGAAACUAGUAAUUUGAUUGCUCUUACAAGGUUUACUCCGACCUCGUUGCAAUUGCUAUUUUGCGCUACGGGCCUGAAGGAUGCUACCUCGUUGUGCGCGAUAAUAGCGUUAAACGUUUAGUCUCUCUCUUGCUACCGACGCGAUCGUUGGCUCGCGUCAAUGUGAAUCGCCAAGAAUGAAAGUGUCAUUAUGCGCAUGAUGCGGAAACUCGAACGUCCGAUAUUUUCCGUCGGGAAAGUUGAGAUAACUUCACCAUCAGCUUGCGCCAGACGUUUCCCGAUGGAGCGCAGCAUCAAUCAUUAGAAUCCGGAUCGACUGGCUGACGGAUUUCCCUUCGGGCCGAGACGAUGCGAGGCGACGAGACGCAACGGAGCGACGCGACGCCACCACCGACGGAGACGUCUUACGCCCUACGUGCGCCGACGAAGGUCGGCGAAUAACUCAAGGGCGGUUUUCCCCGACGACCGGCUCACCAACUAACCAACAAUCUCGGCGGCGGCCAAAACUUACGUAGUGGAGAUUGGAUGAGAGCAAGUUUGUCCGCUAUGCGACAUAAGUGCGCAUAAUGUAAUACGGGGAAGUUGGAUCUAUGAUGAAACAGAGCGAGAGUGACAGCUGUGCGAACUUGCACAGCGGAGAGAAACGAAAAUUGCCCUAAUUAUGUUUAUAUCAGUAAGUGAGAUUGUCAUAGUUAGAAAAUUUAAGUAUAUAAUAUACGUUUACAAUAUGUACUGUACAAUAUAUGGAGCAACUGUCCCCAUUACUGCCGGUUCUUUCCAAGCAGUAUUAGAAUAAAAUAGGUACGAGAAUGUUAUAUAAGGUAAGUGACCCCUAUAUGGCCUACUUGCUGUAUCUAAGUAGUUACAUGAUAAAUUCAUAAAUAACGCUAGUGUGUCGUACAGGCUGUUAACGUGACUUGUUUGCAACAGCUGACUGCUUAAUUGUGAAUUCUUCAUGAUCUAAUAUUUCGUAGAAAAGUUACCGCUUUCCAUAACUAGUAGUGGUUAAUUAUCUCCGCGGUUCAUAUUGUGUGUAGCUUUAUACUUGCACUUUACAACGCUUUAUUUGAUUUAUAUUUUCGUCAUAGCGUCCUGUUUAUAGUCACAGAAAGAAAACUCUUUGUAAGGUUGAAUAUAUAUGGCGUAGUUUAAUAAUGAGUACUCACACAUCGAUUGUAAUGUUUUUUUCAGUAAUUCUAUUACUUCAGAUCAUGAAUUUUAAUUCAUUAACUAAACACCGAUUUAUAAGCUAUGAUUAUAAAGGGGAAAAAUUGAGAUAAGUCAAUUAUUUACUUAAUAGAUUGUUGAUGAAAAUAGUUCUUUAUAUACUGUAUUAAUAUGUCAAUAAAUAUGUCAACAUGUUAAUAAAUUUAUAAACUUAUAAA